CCAGCAGCCGCGGUAAUUCCAGCUCCAAUAGCGUAUAUUUAAGUUGCUGCAGUUAAAAAGCUCGUAGUUGGAUUUCGGGUGGGCGGUGCCGGUCCGCCGUUUCGGUGUGCACUGGUUCUGCCCACCUUGCUGCCGGGGACGUGUUCCUGGGCUUCGUUGUCCGGGACACGGCGUCGGCGAGGUUACUUUGAGUAAAUUAGAGUGUUCAAAGCAGGCCUACGCUCUGAAUACAUUAGCAUGGAAUAACACGAUAGGACUCUGGCCUAUCUUGUUGGUCUGUAGGACCGGAGUAAUGAUUAAGAGGGACAGUCGGGGGCAUUCGUAUUUCAUUGUCAGAGGUGAAAUUCUUGGAUUUAUGAAAGACGAACUACUGCGAAAGCAUUUGCCAAGGAUGUUUUCAUUAAUCAAGAACGAAAGU
rnacentral:rRNA from 1 species